ensembl:snRNA U6 U6 spliceosomal RNA
UUGCUUCCACAGCACAUAGACUAAAAUUGGAACGAUACAGAGAAGAGCAGCAUGUCCGGUGCAAGAUGCUGUGUAAAUUUGUGAGGUGUCCAUAUUUUUC